CUCAAACAUAGUUGGUUAGGAGAUGCCAUGGUCAGUCAAGGAAGACAGUUUUUUUUCUUUAUAAUUUUCAGAGUUGGAGUUGGGGACGUGGGGCUGCAUAUGGAUGUAACCCACAUUAAACACAUGCUGCUAAGAAAGACCACAGGCAUGAAUUUAUUGCCUCAUGCUUAAAAACAAAUUUGUUGUUCUUCAUCAUGAGAAACUCUGUUAAUGCAGGAUUUGAUAAGUAUUUCACUGGACUGCCAUCUGGAUGGGUUUGCGGAGUUUUAUUCUCCUGUUUGUAGUGCAGAAAGAACUGUGUUGGUGGACUAGGAGGAAGAUGUCACACUAAGGAUGGUUUUUUUUGGCGAUGAUGUUGGUGCUGUUGAUGCAGCAUCGAGCUCUCACUUUGUGCCUCUGUCAGCUAUGAUCCAUAACCAUAAAGUGAGUGACAGGCCAUUCUCCGGGGGGAAAGCAGAGGUCUGAGAAAUUCAGGCUCCUUUCAGAAGCGGCGAAGAAGACUGACCGUCUCGGAGACAGUGCUGGGAGCAGCCCCAACGCUAGUUGCUGGCCGUUAGACAUGGCGUUCAAAGACUAGCGGUGCAAGAAUGGAAAUGCAGAUAAGGCAUCUUUUGGGAAACAGGCCUGGGAAUUGUUCAAGGCUCUCACUUGUAUGAUAUUAUGAUUAUUUUUAUUUAUUCAUUUAAUCUGGAAAGUAAUGAAUGUGAUCUUUCAAUGAUUUCAUGGACAUUUCCUAUGUAUAUGAAUGACUUUGUGAACAUUAUGGUUUUCCAGGUAAUUCUGCCAAAUAAAGACUGUAUGUAAACAUUUCAACACAUGAACAAGAGAAGCCAGAGACCUGCUCAUGUAUAAUCUCCAAGGUUUUAUUUACUCUUCUUUUGCGGCUGUUCAGGAGGCAGUUAAUUACACAAUUAAUACAUGAUACAAAUUAUGUACAUAUAUACCAAGAAUACUUCCAACAUAAAAUAAAAAAUAGCAUUGUAUUCUACAACUCUGUGUUGUAAUUUCAUUUAAACAUGUUCAUAUAU